rnacentral:rRNA from 1 species
UACGUAGGGUGCAAGCGUUAAUCGGAAUUACUGGGCGUAAAGCGUGCGCAGGCGGCGCCGCAAGUCAGGCGUGAAAUCCCCGAGCUUAACUUGGGAAUGGCGCUUGAAACUACGGUGCUGGAGUGUGGCAGAGGGAGGUGGAAUUCCACGUGUAGCGGUGAAAUGCGUAGAGAUGUGGAGGAACACCGAUGGCGAAGGCAGCCCCCUGGGGUAACACUGACGCUCAUGCACGAAAGCGUGGGGAGCAAACAGG